rnacentral:rRNA from 1 species
GACGAACGCUGGCGGCGUGCUUAACACAUGCAAGUCGAACGCUGAAGCUUGGUGCUUGCACUGGGUGGGUGAGUGGCGAACGGGUGAGUAAUACGUGAGUAACCUGCCCUUGACUCUGGGAUAAGCCUGGGAAACUGGGUCUAAUACUGGAUAUGACAUGCCACUGCAUGGUGGUGUGUGGAAAGGGUUUUACUGGUUUUGGAUGGGCUCACGGCCUAUCAGCUUGUUGGUGGGGUAAUGGCCUACCAAGGCGACGACGGGUAGCCGGCCUGAGAGGGUGACCGGCCACACUGGGACUGAGACACGGCCCAGACUCCUACGGGAGGCAGCAGUGGGGAAUAUUGCACAAUGGGCGGAAGCCUGAUGCAGCGACGCCGCGUGAGGGAUGACGGCCUUCGGGUUGUAAACCUCUUUCAGCACGGAAGAAGCGAGAGUGACGGUACGUGAAGAAGAAGCGCCGGCUAACUACGUG